rnacentral:rRNA from 1 species
AUGAGCGGUCUGGGGGGUGUGAUUGCUGGUGCCGUGGGGAAACAAAUCGUCAGCAAGCUUGGUGAAUAUGCUGCGUCGGAGAUCACUCUGCAGUGGAGGUACAGGGAGGACGUGUUAGACUUGCAGGAGAAGAUGAAAGAUCUGGAGGCCGUGUUGCUUGAUGCCGACGACAAGUCGCGUCAAGUAGGAGAAGGUGGAAGAGUAUUUCAGCGGUGGCUUACAAAAUUUAAGCGUGUUGCCUAUGAUGUCGAGGAUGUGCUUGAUGAGUUGGAUGCUAACGAGCUCAUCAAGAAGAGCCAAUCCAAGGUCAAUUUAUGGUUUUCCAGAAACAAUCAACUCCUGCAGCGAAUAAUCAUGCCCCACAAGAUGAAGAACGUGAUGAAGAAAAUAGACGAAAUUGAAAAGGAUGGGAGAACGAAGCUCAACCUUGUGCAUCAAGAAGCACGGGGAGAAGAAAGCAAAAACAAUGAAACUUUUGCAGCCAACUAUGGUGAUGGCACGAAAACUGGAAUGGUGGGGAGGGAUAUUGAGAAGGAGAAGAUAAUCAGCCUGCUACUGACAAGUGAAGCUAAUGAGGAUAUCUCCAUCAUUCCAGUUGUUGGCCUUGGUGGCAUAGGUAAGACAACAUUGGUUGAAUCAGUGUUUGCAGACAAGAGGGUCAGUAUCUUUGACGUCUCAAUCUGGUUUAAUGUGUCCAAGCAGUUUGAUUUGAACAAAAUUGGGAGUGCAAUCCUGAAAAGAAUAAUGAAUAACACUGUCAACCUUGACAACUGCGAUUUGCAGUUUUAUCUGAAAAAAGAACUUGCUACUAGAAGAUACUUAAUUGUUCUGGAUGAUCUCUGGGAGGAAGAUGGAAAUAAACUUGAAAAGUUGAAGCAGAUGUUACAGCAUGGCUGCAAGGGUAGCCGUAUUAUAGUAACUACCCGAAACCUACGAGUAGUGCAACAAUUGCGCACUGGUUUCCUUGCAAAUGAGAGGAAAAUUGUCCCAGUUCAUGAGUCUGACAUAAUAAAUUUGGGUGCUUUAGAACCUGGUGACUGUUGGGAAUUAAUGAAGCAAAGGGCAUUUGGGCCUGAUGAUGAUCACAGUGUCUUGGAAGAAAUUGGAAAAACAGAUUGCGGGGAAGUGUGGGGGCUUACCACUCGUGGCAAAUGCUCUUGGGCAUGUAAUGUCAGAGCAAAGGACCGUGGGGGCAUGGGAAGAUAUAAGAGACACCAAGGUCGAUCUGGGUUUGAAAGAACCUUCCCCAAGGGCUUUGUCAUGGACAUCAAUCGCUUAAUCCAGCAAUGGAAUGCACUUGGAUACAUUAAUUCAAGGCACGAUGGUCAAAGGUGCAUCAAUUACCUUCUGGGGAUGUCCUUUCUUCAGACUCCGGUGUCUGCUUUGGCAAGCUUAGAUCCCUCCACUUUAGGGAUUUGGGGGGACUGCAACUCCCGAAAAAGGCUUUUUCUCGGUCCAAGCUUGACAAUAACAUCACUUCCUAAAUAUUUUCAUGCACUUCAAAACAUGGAAACUCUUAUUCUGUCCAAUUCCAAGCUUGAAACCUUGCCUGACCAUGUUUGUCGCCUCAGGAAACUUUGCUAUUUGGAUCUAUCUGGUAGUAGUAGCCUCAGUAAGCUAACUGCAUCACUAGGGGAGCUCUCUCAACUCUCUUUCCUCAAUCUAUCCGGGUGUUGUAUACUCCAAGAGUUGCCUGAAUCAAUCUAUGAGCUUGCAUGCUUACACCACCUAGACAUGUCACAUUGUUGUGCUCUUCAAAGGAUGCCUGAUAAAUUUGGUAGCCUUCCUAAACUCUCAUUGUUAAACUUGUCAGGUUGCUCAAAGCUCACCAAACUACCUGACAAUGUAAGCUUUCCGUGUUUAGAGUAUCUGAACCUAUCAAGUUGCCAUGAGCUAGAAAACCUGCCAAUUGAUUUCAGCCACCUUCAGAAACUUGAGUUCAUGAACCUGUCUGGUUGCUACAAGGUUUCAAUGCUGCCAGGAUCAUUUUGCCAACUUAAUCAUUUGAAAUACCUAGAUCUUUCAGAUUGCCAUAACCUCGAACAACUCCCUGAAUGUUUUGGUCACCUCAUCGAGCUUGAAUAUUUGAACCUAACAAGCUGUCCUAAACUCCGACAAUUGCCAGAGUCACUAUGCAUGUUGCUUAAGCUGAGGUGUCUCUAUUUGUCAUAUUGUUUGAGGCUCAAGGAGCUCCCCUCCUCAUUUGGCGACCUAAAGCUUCAAAUACUGCACAUGAAUGGCCUUAUACUUAUGGAUGACUGCCCUUAUAACAUUGGUGACAUGACUAGUCUUACCGAGUUUGUAAUUGAUUAUGCAACUUUUGAUUUUCUUGAAAAGAUUGAAGCCAUUCGAAAGCGUCUAAAUUUUGUGGGCACGGUAGGGCAUUAUGUACAUGAGAUAGAGAGUAGAGGAUGCAGCAGUAUAGUAGAUCUUGUUGGACUAACUUGUUCAGAGCUGAUAAUUAAAGACCUUCAGAAUGUCAGGCGUCCAGAAGAUGCAGACAGAGUCAAACUGCGUGAUAAAUCAAAUAUUAGAGUACUGAAGCUUCACUUUGGAAAUGAAGGAGGUAAAUCUGUGCUGGACAGUCUCGUACCUCCUCGGACUCUUGAUAACUUUUGGCUAUGUGGGUAUACGAGCAAGGAAUUCCCUAAUUGGAUGCUUCACAUCUCAUCCUACAUCCCUUUUCUCAGUGAACUGACUCUGAAUGGUUUGGAAGCAUGUGAUUUUCUUCCUCCAUUAGGGGCACUACCAAAUUUAACAAGGUUGUUUCUGCUGAACAUUCCCAACAUUAGGAAAAUUGACUGCCCAAAGUUGAAGUUCCUACCAUAUCCCCCAAGAAGUAAGAAGUGGUUUUUGAGCAACAGCGAGCCAGUUUUGCCAGAGCGAGGAUUUGGAAAGCUCUCAUCUUCCAUUCAUCCUUCUGAGAUGGCUCUAAAGAGCUGUCGUUACUCUCAAGACAAGUGGGAUAGACUUCAACACUUUCCUACCCUUGAGAUAUUUCAGGUAAAAUCUAUCACUGGCUUGAAGACUUUGCCAAAGGUCAUACAAUGCUUCACCUCUCUCACUGAACUAAAUUUGGUAUUGUUGAAUGAGCUGGACACACUCCCGGUAUGGUUGGGCCACCUCGGUUAUUUAGAAGAAAUUGGAAUCGGUGGUUGCCCCAACCUGACAUCUUUGCCUGAAAGCAUGAAGAACCUCACCGCUCUUAAAAAACUAAAGUUGAUAGGGUGCAAAGGCCUGAAGAUAUUACCAGGAUCGUUGGGACAGUUGACUUCUCUAGAAGGAAUUGAAAUCAGCGAUUGCCCCAACCUGUCAUCUUUGCCUGAAAGCCUGAAGAACCUCACCGCUCUAAGAAAAUUGACGUUGACAGAGUGCAAAGGCCUGGAAACAUUACCGGGAUCCUUGGGACAAAUGACUUCUCUAGAAGAAAUUUCAAUUGGCGACUGCCGCAACCUGACAUAUUUUCCUGAAAGCAUGAAGAACCUCAUCGCUCUUAAAAAGCUGAGGUUGAAAAUGUGCAAAGGCCUGGGGACAUUACCGGGAUGGUUGGGACAGUUGACUUCUCUAGAAGAAAUUUUAAUCAGCAUUUGCCCCAACCUGACAUGUUUGCCUGAAAGCAUACGGAAUCUCUCUGCUUUGAAGCUACUCAGAAUUGUUGAAUGUCCAGAGCUCGAGGUCAUCGUCACCAACGAAAUUUGCACAAAAUUUGUCAUCUGUGCUCCUGGUGGUUACAUGCAUGGUGCUCUACUCCGUACUCCAUACUUGUGUUGGAGGUUGUCCUGUUGGUCCCAGGAGCUGCAGAGGAGGGCGUGGGGCUGUCCUGUCCUGUGUUUGCGCGCGUGCGCACCUUCCACUCGGACAGGCCAAGCGAGGCACUGUGCUCAUUCUCGUAACUGCUUCUUUUACCGACCCAGGAUGAUGUGUGGCUGGCUAGCUACCUUGCCUGGAAAUAUUGUCAUACUGAAAAAGGUCUGGUGCUACUACCUCUUGCGCUUCAAGACUAGAAGCAGAAAGAGGGUGGCCUCAAUUGCUACUUGCUACAUUCAUUGCGGCUGA